rnacentral:rRNA from 1 species
ACUUCUGUUUCCGUGGACACUGGCGCACGGGUGANUAACGCGUUGGGGUAUCUGCCCUGAGGUGGGGGACAACCGCUUGGAAACGGUGGCUANUACCGCAUGAGCCUUUUGAGGGAAAGCCUUCGGGCGCCUUGGGAUGAACCCGCGUCNGAUUAUCUUGUUGGUGGGGUAACGGCCUACCNAGGCGACGAUCCGUAGCUGGUCUGAGAGGAUGAUCAGCCACACUGGANCUGAGACACGGUCCAGACUCCUACGGGAGGCAGCAGNGGGGAAUAUUGGACAAUGGGGGCAACCCUGAUCCAGCCAUGCCGCGUGAGUGAAGAAGGCCUUAGGGUUGUAAAGCUCUUUCGGCGGNNAAGAUGAUGACGGUACCCGCANAAGAAGCCCCGGCUAACUCCGUNCCNGCNNCCGCGGUAAUACGGAGGGGGNNAGCGUUGUUCGGAAUUACUGGGCGUAAAGGGCGUGUAGGCGGUUUGCCNAGUCNGGCGUGAAAGCCCCGGGCUUANCCUGNGAACUGCGCUUGAUACNGGCAGGCUAGANGUUGGAAGAGGAUAGUGNAAUUC